rnacentral:rRNA from 1 species
CAGUGGGGAAUUUUGGACAAUGGGCGCAAGCCUGAUCCAGCAAUGCCGCGUGCAGGAAGAAGGCCUUCGGGUUGUAAACUGCUUUUGUCAGGGAAGAAAUCUUCUGGGCUAAUACCCCGGGAGGAUGACGGUACCUGAAGAAUAAGCACCGGCUAACUACGUGCCAGCAGCCGCGGUAAUACGUAGGGUGCGAGCGUUAAUCGGAAUUACUGGGCGUAAAGCGUGCGCAGGCGGCUUUGCAAGACAGAGGUGAAAUCCCCGGGCUCAACCUGGGAACUGCCUUUGUGACUGCAAGGCUAGAGUACGGCAGAGGGGGAUGGAAUUCCGCGUGUAGCAGUGAAAUGCGUAGAUAUGCGGAGGAACACCGAUGGCGAAGGCAAUCCCCUGGGCCUGUACUGACGCUCAUGCACGAAAGCGUGGGGAGCAAACAGGAUUAGAUACCC